rnacentral:lncRNA from 1 species
UUACAAAAAUUUAACCGCAUGCCAAAAAUUCGUAUAAUUUUCCAAUACGAAUAUAAACACAUGCUAAAAAUCAUUCGGAUUCCCCAAAACAUGAAUUCUUGCUUUCCAAAAAUAUACAAUACCAAACUUCAAAAAAUCUAUCUUCAAAACAACACUUGAAGUAACCUACACAAUACAUUUACUUUCAAAGUCUACAUAUCCUUAGUUCAACAAAAUGUCCUUGCUCCCAUGCUCCAAUGUAAAAUGUGUUCCUGAACAAUCAAAGAAGAAAAAAAAGUUAGUGUUCCCGAGUAAGCAAAAUUCAUGUUUUUAAAGCAUAUAAAACUUGUUGUAUACAACUUUUUUUGUGCAAAAGACCAUGAAAUUCUAAAACCCCAGAAAAAGUGGUUUAGCACAUAUGACAAUGAGAACAAGAAAGUUUCUUUGAGAUUUUUUUUGAUAUUCGCCGAAGAAUGUUGCAACCCACAAUUACGAUGCUAACCUAACCUACAAAAUAAGAGACACCAGUGAGCUGCAAUGCAAGAACUUGCGCUUGCAUUAUAUCGUAAAAGCUACAGCUUGUACUAUGGAUAAAAACACCAACGAAAUACUAUAUGCUAUUUAUACCAUGAAUACAUUUAGCAGAAGGAAUACCUGGAUAUAAGCAUAUUGUCACUAGCAAUCCAAUAACUUUACUAGGUGAAACAGGACAUUUCGAUACAAUAGAGCAGGCUCUUUAUUGCUGCCAAUCUUUGAUCUUAAUCCCCUAAUCUGUAAAGUCCAUCAUAUAGUUUUCAGUGAUAAAGUAGCAGUCGGCAUAAAAAUUUUGAAAUCAGAUAGCAAGGCUGGAUAAAAUUAACUCAUCAUAUAUUUAUGAAAAGAUAUUGAAAUGGCGUAUGAUAUAUCAAACCAUUCCAACAACUGAACCAUGGAAAGCCCUCCAUGCACAUAAUAAAUGUAUGUAAAAUGAGUUUAAUCAUUUUUAAGGGUAUAAUCAACUCAACCAUUUAUAAUUUGCAGCACAGCUAGGAAGAAAAGGGAUUCUUAAAACGGAGAAGUCACCAUACCAUACCAUGUGCUAUAGUUAUAGCAUUGUAUAUAAAAACAUCUAGAUACAUGUGGAAAAUGGAACAAAAAAUUUACGAAGCAAUCCAACUUUAAUUUUUAUAAACCGAGCAAAUGAGUUUAGAACGACAAGUAGGAAACAGAGUUUAUACAAUGAACAUAAUAACAACAAAAGCUAGCGUUAGACCUGACUUGAUUGCUUUCGCUCUUCUUGGCCAUAAAAAAUGCCUAUAUUUUCUGCCAUCCAGCAACUACAAUAAACAAACAACACAGAGAGAGAAAUCUAAUGAAGUUGAUGAAGAAAAAAUGAAUCUAAAAUUUGAACAAUCAAGCAUAGAGAAACUAUUUCUUAGAAUGUUAGCUUUCUUGAAAUAUAUUUUUAGCCAUAAUCAGAAAUUAAAAAAUUAUUGUUCUUUGGAGAGAAACGAAACCGUGUUGAUAUCCGACAGGCCUCCUUCUGCAGUACCAUAGAUAAACUCUGUUGCCACUAGCUAAUGGUAUACACGAGAAUCUGUUUAGUGUCUGCAAAUAAUGUACACUUUCCGUAAGAAAGAGAAGUAACGAAAAAGACGUUAGUACGUUAAGUGAACAGGUGAACUUACAGUGGCUGAUACUUUUCCUUUGCUCAACUGAAAUGAAGAAACGGAGCUAAAUCAGAAGACAAAUAGUUCCCAGCAUGGUGUAUAUACUAUCCCAUUUUUUAGCCGUAACUCCAAAUUAAUUUGCACAUUAUCAAUGGGAUUUUAUAUCAUAUUACAUGCUUGAUACAUAGAUUUUCUAAACAAAUCUCAAACUUGAAGAGUGCUAGAUAGGUUUAUUUUACCAUUUUGGUCUCGGGGAAGAUAACACAAGUACUUCGGUAACCAAAUUCUUCCAAAGCAUCCUUCAAAACACAAUCAUUGGUAUCAUAAGAAAAGUAAGUAAAAUAAAUUGUCAUUGUGCACAAACUGAGAAAUUAACAACACUGGUAAACAAAAAACUUGGAAGAAUAAAAAAUUGAAACCAAUGGAAAAUUAGCAAACUAUAAUUAAGUAAAAUUCUAAAAUAUCAAGUCAUAGAUUCUCACAAUCUGCAAACUCUUGUUUCAAAUCCUAGCUUGACCCCUUAAAUUCAAGCAAUCAAAUUAACCUAAAAAUCACUUGUCAGCUUCCUAUACUGAAUUCCACACGGAUGGAAUGAGAUCAAUUAAAAUAAAUGGAAAAUAAUAACAGAGGAGACUAACCUGUCACGCAAUCCACGGGUGAUUCAAAACACCUGCAGGGUUGAAAGAUUUUCGCAUUUUUCAAUUUGUCUUCACAAUGAUUAGUUCGAUCCUGAGGGAAGAAGUAGCAACAGAGAUGUCGGCUCGGCAUUAGCGGCAAUGGCGGAGGCGGAGGCGGAGGCGAACGCGGCGGCGGAGGUACGGCGUCGAAGAGAAGUUAUUAUUCAUAGAGAAGCCCUAAUCGAAGGUUAGAGGGAGAUUGUAUCGGUCUGAUUAUAAAGGAAAAAUUGAGAGAAAAAAGUGAUGUUAAUAACGUUAGAGAUUAAUAAUUUAUAUAUUAUAUAAUUUAUUUUUGUUGACGGUUUUUAAGCGUCGAGAACAUUUUUAAAAGCGUCAAGAAUUCCUUUUACUUGACCGUGUUUAUGUGUCAAGAUUAGUUUCAAAAGCGUCAAGAAACGCACUUUAUACGAUGGUUUUGAAACCGUCGGGAAUACAAAGCAUCGCAAAAGCCCUAAAAUGUUGUAGUGAUUUACCCUUAGUCCUUCAGUUACAGCAGUGAUGGACACAAGUUUGAUUCCGUUAGUUUUAACAGAAAAUUGACAGAAAUGACUAAAAAUGUUGAUUUUUUUUUAAAUAUGAGGGACAAGUGUGGUUUUUGUGAACACGGAUGAUCAAAUAUGAAAUUGGUGCAAACUUGAGGGAUGAAAACUGUAUUUUUCCAUAUAUUAGUUGAAUCUUAUAGUUCAAUCACUAUUUGCAGGUAACAUCAUUCAAGUGUGGUGGUUUUGCAAUCGGCAUGUCUACAAAUCACAUCUUAUUCGACGGCCUAGGCGCCAAGGUAUUCCUCAUAAACCUAGCUUCCCAAUCUUUCGAAAACAAACCCUUAGCCAUCGUACCCUACAACGACCGUCGGGUUCUCGCCGCUAGAUCUCCACCGCACGUUUCCUUCCCACAUCCAGAGUUCCUCAAAUUCGACCUCCCCGUGGGCCCGGGGUCAACUCCCCCAAAGUUCGAUUGCAUCAUCGAAGAACUCGAUCUCAAAAUCUUCAAACUCACCACAACUCAGAUAUCCCACUUAAAGGACAAUAUUACUAAGACCUCCAAAAUUGAAAGAAUUAGCACCCUUGCGGUGGUGGCCGCCCUAAUAUGGCGGUGCAAAGCCUUUUCCGAUGAUAAGAAUAGGGUUUCAACUUUGCUCAGCGUUAUCGACAUUAGGCCAAGAGUGAACCCCCCAUUACCAUAUUCGUACUCGGCCAAUGCAGUGCUACCCUUGGGAGUUUCCGAAACUUGUGAAGAGAUAAGAAACGGGCCGUUUUCGAAGCUUGUGGAAAUCAUUACCGAAGGAGCUAAGGAGAUGACGCACGAGUACGUGAAAUCGGCUUUCGAUUGGUUGGAGUUGAAUAGAGGGAUUCCUCAUGGGGAUUACAUGGUGAGCUCAUGGCUUAGAUUUGGGUUUGAUGAGGUGGAGUAUGCAUGGGGGAAGCCGAUGUACAGUUGUCCGGUGGUGAAUCAUCGGAAAGAUAUUUGUUGGGUUUUUCGAGAUGCCGUUGAUAAUGGUGUUUGUGCAAUGGUGGCUUUGCCUUCUCAAGAGAUGGACAUAUUUGAGGGUGUUUUCCACGACUUUUUUGCUUCAAUAUUGGUUCACUAAUGAUCGACAAUAUAUAUAUAUAUAUAUAUAUAUAUAUAUAUAUAUAUAUAUAUAUAUAUAUAUAUAUAUAUAUAUAUAUAUAUAUAUAUAUAUAUAUAUAUAUAUAUAUAUAUAUAUAUAUAUAUAUAUAUAUAUAUAUAUAUAUAUAUAUAUAUAUAUAUAUAUAUAUAUAUAUAUAUAUAUAUAUAUAUAUAUAUAUAUAUAUAUAUAUAUAUAUAUAUAUAUAUAUAUAUAUUGUGUGUGUGUGCGCGCGCGCGCAGAGUAUUGUUCUUCUUAGCUUUGUGAUAUUAUUGAGCAUUGUGCAAAAAACUGUUUCCAAGUUAAUAUUGUUAGCAAUAAAACCCCUUGUGUUUUGCAAAGCAGGCUGCCCUUUACAUUAAUAUAUUUGUUGACUUACGUGAAAUGACAAAAAUGUCCUAAUAAAUAUUAAACAAUGUUGCAAUUUUAAAUGAAAAAUGAAAAAAAGAAAACAAAAUUAAAUUUUAAAGGAAAGAUAAGCAAAAAAACCUAUAGGAAUAAUAGGAGAAAGAGAGAAAUAAUAAUAUGUAAUAGAAAACUCCGUUAUGUUAUGGGUUGAUUUACAUGGAAUAUUUAUAGAGAAAUAUUGAAAGGUAAUAGAGUUUAACUAGAUAACUGAAUCAUGAGUAAUCUAGAUAAUUGAAUCAUAAUAGAAUCAUAAUAUUAUAAGAGUUCUUAUAAUAUAGUAUACUCUAAUAAAAACAAUUUUCAGUCCCAAAUCCAAUUAUCAUCCACCCUCCGCCGCACUAUCAACACCACAUCUGCCUUCAACCUGCUCUCGAUUUGGUAGGACGAAAAAACUCCAAAAUAUUGGUGGAAAAUGGUGCAGAAAAGCUCCAAACCAAACCGAAUUUUGUAAGAGAAAAUGUUGGAGUGGUGGGGCGGAAGGGGGUAUAAGGAGGGAGGUGAGGCCGGAGAGGGUGUUCGCCGGAAGGAGAGCGGCGACUCGACUAUGUUCAGUGUAUUUCUGGAAAAAAAAUUCAAAUUAGUCCAUGACUUAAGGAAGAAGAUGGCCUUUUUGAAAAUGGGAGGGAUUGAAUUCAAAAAUAAAUCAUAAAAUUAUACCAUAUAUUUCAAAAAACAAUCAAAACAUUUGUAACUAAAAUCAGAUCCGAAAUUGGAAUUUUCGGUAAUUUUAUAUACAAUUCCAAAACCGUGCCAAAAAAUGGAAAAAUCCUAAAUUGUAAAAAAAAAACAAAAAAAAAAAAACAAUUCUAAAUUCAGAUAUUUUCGAAUCGGAAUCGGUGGAAUUCCAAAAUUCCAUUCCGACACCCCUAACCACAUUGCAUUUUUUACUUUAAUUUUUUCUUUAUUUUAUUUUAUGAGACAUAUAUAUGAUGAUGUUUUUUUUGGUCGUCAUAUGCUGAUGAUUUUAACAUUAUUAAAACAUGCUAUUGAAAUAUUGUUUAAUUAUGUUAAUUAUAAAUGUAUUAAGAUUGUCCAUACUAGUUUAUCAUCAAAUCAAGUUAAUUAACUGUUGAAUCUUUUAGUGUAUUAAAUGUUAAAAAUAAUUAACAAGGAUCACCCAAUUAAUUUGCAGAACUUAAUAUUAUCCAUUUAUCUUUUCUUUUCUUGUUGAAUAAAAUUUAUUUGUUAUUUAAAAUAUAUAUUAAACAUUGUAUAUUAAUGUACAUUUUGGUAUAGAACUUUAUACAUAAUAUCCAAAAUAAUAUAUUUUUAGAGUUAUUAAGGAUAAUAUAAUUUAAACUUAAUAAUUUAUUUAUAUCUUGAAUUUUUUGAUUAUAUACAUAAGAGUUUAAGAGAAACAAGAUUAUCCUAACCAUUAACGUGGACAAGAACCCAUACAAAGAUUAUAUUAGUGGGUAACAUUUAAACUUUUAUUGAUUUUUUUUCCAAUAUUUUAUUUGAUAUUUCAUAUUACACAAUAACUAGUAAUUACUUAUUUUAUAUAAAAUUAAUCAUAUAUAAUUUUAUUUAUUUUUAAAGAAAUUAAUAAUGUGCAAUUUUAGUCAAUUAAAUCUUAAAUAGUGUAAAUUAUUGAGUAAAAUAGUAAGAAUCAUGUGCAUUGCACGUGGUACUAACUAGUUUAUUUAAAAUUACGAAUUCAUUUUAUAACAAUUUAAUUGAUCAUGUCCACUUGGUAUUUUGAUCCGAUUCACAAUUAUUUUAUUGAGUAAAUUACAGUUACCCCUCUGAGGUAAGGUCAAAUUAUCAAAAACACUUUGUUUCGGUAAUUAUAAUCACCCAUCAACUACGAAUCUUCUUAUACGUCUACUCUUGCGGUAUCAAAUUUAAUGGAAUCUUCUAAAUUAUGUGGAAUAUUCUUAAGUUUGUACCCGUUUCAUCCCAUUUGAGCUUUACAUUUUGACACAAGAUGAUCAUAGAUCAUAAUAUGUAUCUCUUGGGAUUUAAAUAUCAGAAUGUGGUGCAUCAUAAAAUGCAUUUUGCACAAAACGAGUACAAACUAGAGAAUAUUUCAUGAAUCUAGAAAAUUAUGUCGAAUUUGACACCAUGGGGAUGGACUUGUAAGAAGAUUCAUAGUCGAGGGGAUGCUAGUAAUUACCCAAACAUAAGGGGUUUUUAUGAACAAUAACUAAAAUAUAAAUAAUACCUAAAAUAUAAACACAAAGCAUACCUUAUAUCAAUGAAUUGGAUUCUUGAAUUUUGAAUGAAUCCUUCAAUCUCUUACCAAAUGUUAUGUAGAUCUUUAAAUUUCUCUCCAAUGAUAUAUCUAAGGAAAUAAGGAAAUAUUAUUGUCUUCCUUCGGAGACCAUGAAGAUCUUUAUACUGGAGCUUUUUUUUGUUUAUUAUUCCUUUCUGCCAUAUCAUUAAUAGGAGGUUGGCUACAAUUACGACCGAAGUAGAAACCGAGAGUUUCAUGGUUCAAAAAUGCCUAAUCUCGUAUGAAUCAUCAUUUGUCAGGACUUUUGGGCGUAAGUUCCUUGACAUGGACAGAACAUUUAGUACAUGUUGCUAUUCCGGGAUCCAAUGGGCUCGGAGUGUACGUUCGGUGGAAUAAUUUCUUAGAUGUAUUAACGCAUCCCCAAGGCUUAGCUCCACUUUUUAUAGGGAAAUUCUAUGUUACACCCGAACACCGGUAAUUACUUAGCCAUAAAUCUACACAUAAUCACACAAACUAAUGUAUAUGUGUGCUUAGUAGGUAGUUAUUUAACAUCAUAUUUUGUUAACUUCAUCAUAAGUUAUGACACAUGCAAGCUAUAAAUCUCGACAACAUCGACCGUACUUAUAUAAGAUUGAAGGAGGUUACGUCGUAUUGCACGAGGCAUAGGAAAAUUUAGAUAUUUUACCAAAAUAGUCGAAAUUAAUUUGUUUCUACAAACAUCUCAAAAUUUAAAUUAAGCACUUAUAAUUGAUUUUUUUUAUGUAUUUGCAAACACUCCCAACUUUUAAAAUUAAUUAAGUAUGCUUAUUUCAAAAUUUACUUAAGGGGGGAGGGGGGGGGGGGGGGGGGGGGUUUGCAUAAAUGUUGUAAAAAUAGAAAUUGAUGAUUGUGAGUAUAAGACUAUAAGUUAAAAAUAAAUGAUUACCAACGAAAGUUGAGGGUAUUUGCAAAUUCUUAAAAAAAUAACUUGAAGCGGUUAAUCCAGAAGUUAUAAGUGUUUGCAAAUCACAUUUAACUUUUAGCUUAUUUUUAUGGAAUAUCCGUGUAAGAAUAAUUUUGAUAAAAGGUAUAAAUGUGAAGAGGAGGACGAGGACGAAGAAGAUGAAGAGGAAGAAGAGGAAGAGGACGAGGAGGAAGAAGAGGAAGAGGACGAGGAAGAUGACGAAGAGGAGAUGGAAGAGGACGAGGAAGAAGACGACGAAGAAGAAGACGAGGAGGAAGAGGACGAAGAAUAAGAGGAGGACGGAGAAGAAGAAUCUUCCUCUCUUUCGUCCUCUUCCUCCUCUUCUAAUGAAUUAGGUGUUAAUCUAGCAAUUAGAACCACAAUUUAAGAUGUAUUAAUGUUAAUACACUAACUUCUAUAUAGUUGGUUAAAGUUGAUUUUUCAUAAUCUCAACUUCUAGAAUUAAAUUAUUAUCUUGAAUUUAACUCACAUUCACUAACUUAAUUCAACUGCAUCCUAAACAUUUAAAAUUUUGACAUCCACCUCCUAUGAACUAUGACUGUUUGCAACCACACCCUCAAAUAAUAAAUUCAUUUUUUUGCAUCCACAUUCUUAGACACAAUUUUGCAACUCCAUCCCUCCAUCUAUUUGUCAGAUUACCUUUUUGCGGAGAAUAUAUAUUUUUCUUCUUAUUACUUAUUAGUAAGAAAAUUUAGUUUUUCUUGGCAUUAUUUAGGUGUGAAAAAUAGAAGGGUCAAAUAAGAAAUCAAAGUAUAGAGAAACAAAAAUUAAAGUUAAUGUGUUAAAUGGCUAAAAUAUAGAUACGAUAGAACCUUGACUCGAUGUAAACAUACUAAAUUAUUAGUUAGAUAAUUUAAUAUUUCGUUAAAUUAAUAGGAUUUUGCUAAUUCUGACUGUAUUAAUUUAUAGAGGUUUGACUGUACGAUCAUCUUUAAUGAUGAUGAUGCUAAUAGGUAGCUCACCUAGGGUAGUGUAGAAAAUGAGCUGGGAGAGCAAAGCAGAUCAGUAGCUUGACAACUUGAUGAUCCUGAGGUACCUGCAAUCAUAGAACACGUGAACUAGGCCGGGGGUUGAUCCGGCGGAAACCCCUCCGACGCUCAAGUCAGACGUGCGGAUAGUGGAAAUAGUCCAGAGAAUACGUAUUGUAGUAUUGCUCAGUUAAUAGGACGUACCUUGAGGAAUGAGUUCAAACCUUUAUUUAUAGCUUAGAUGAGAUUGUUGGGCCCAAACCUUAUUUGAAGGCGAUUGGGCCUCGGUGAUAAUAGUCUUAGAUAUUGGGCUCGUGGCCCAAUAGGUAAAGAGAUUGUAGGCCCAUUGGGCUGGCCCAAUUAGGCAUAUCAUUAAGCCCCCCACUCUCGAGUCGAUGUGGGGGCCAUGUCGAAAUGGGUUCUCAAUCGUGUCGAGAGUGAAAAUUGUAGUGUUCGUUCUUUGGCAUAUGGCCUGAUGGUGUGCGAAAAUGCAUUGGAGCGUGUGUCGGAGGGGCGUGAAUGCGCGUUGGCGCGACUAAGUUGUCGCUAUGUAAGUUAUUUGAGUCGUCGGUGUUGUCUCGCGACGAUGUAGUAGCGAAUUGUCUCCUCGUGGGAGUUGUCUCGUCGCGGGGUAAUAUAGUUGAUCGAGUUAUCUCCUCGUGGGAGUUGUUUCGCGAUAAUGUGGCAGCACGGAUCAAGUAAUCUCCUCGUGGGAGUUGUCUCGUCGGGGGGUAAUAGAGUUGAUCGAGUUAUCUCCUCGUGGGAGUUGUCUCGUGAUAAUGUAGUAGCACGGAGCUAGUAUUCUCCUCGUGGGAGUUGUUAUUUAUCGACAUUGUCAAUGUUUUUGACGCGUUGCUUGUAUGUGUUUACAUAUAGCCUUGUGCGUGAUGUACUUGAGGAGGGGAUCAGGCUCUCAAGAGUUUUUUUAUGGGAAUCGUGCCCCUUGUUAGACCUCGUGGGUCGUAAGUAUGUUUGGACCGUGGCCACGUUUUAAUGAAGGACCCAUCGAAAACAAGUAGAUAAAUUUUGAGUAAUCAAGCUGGGCAGGCUAUAUAGAUUCUCAUAAUAUCUCUAAGUGUUUCUAGGGUUGUAAUCGUGCUAACUUGAGCUUGCGAUUAUGUAGUGCAUUGCGAGCGAGUUGUCUCUUCAAGAGAGUUGUCUUGCAGCGAAGUUGUAGGAGCAUUGGAUGACGCGCGAUUGAGGAGCGUGCGGAUUGAGGUUGCUCUGAGCGAGUUGUCUCCUCGUGGGAGUUGUUUCGCAGCGAGUCUUAUUAUCGAGCGAGGUGGUUGUACGUGGGAGUUGCCUCGCAACAGACUUGUAGUAUCGAGCGAGUUGGCUCCUCGUGGGAGUUGUCUCGCUGCGGGUUGUGGUACCAAGCGAGUUGGCUUCUCGUGGGAGUUGUCUCGCUACGGGUUCGUAGUACCGAGUGAGUUGGCUCCUCGUGGGAGUUGCCUCGCUGUGGGUUCGUAGACCCGAGGGAGUUGACUCCUCGUGGGAGUUGCCUCGCAACGGGUUAUAUGACUGAGCAAGUUAUCUCCUCGCGGGAGUUAUCUUGCCGCCGGUUGUAGUACCGAGCGAGUUGGCUCCUCGUGGGAGUUGUGUCGCUGCGAAUUGUGGGACAGAGCGAGUGGUCUUCUCGUGGGAGUUAUUUCGUUGUGGUUAUGAGACCCGAGGGAGUUGGCUCCUCGUGGGAGUUAUCUCACAACGGGUUAUAAGACGGAGCGAGUGGUCUCCUCGUGGGAGUUAUCUCGCUAUGGUUUCGUAGACCCGAGGGAGUUGGCUCCUCGUGGGAGUUGUCCCGCUACAGGUUGUAGUUCCGAGCGAGUUGGCUCCUCGUGGGAGUUGUCUCGCUACGGGUUCAUAAUACCGAUGGAGUUGACUCCUCAUGGGAGUUGUCUCGCAACGAGUGUGUAGGGCCGAGCGAGUUUGCUCCUCGUGGGAGUUAUCUCGCUAUGGCGUUGAGACCCGAGGGAAUUGGCUCCUCGUGGGAGUUGCCUCGCGACGGGUUAUAGGACAGAGCGAGUAUUCUCCUCGUGGGAGUUAACUCGCUAUGGUUUCGUAGACCCGAGGGAGUUGGCUCCUCGUGGGAGUUGUCUCGCUGCGGGUUGUAGGACGGAGCGAGUUAUCUCCUCGUGGGAGUUGUCUCGCUGCGGGUUGUAGUUCCGAGCGAGUUGGCUCCUCGUGGGAGUUGUCUCGCAAGCCCCCCACUCUCGAGAGGAUGUGGGAGCCACGUUGAAAAGGGUACCGGAUCUUGUCGAGAGUAGAUCGGUGUUGUAUUCUUGCGUUAAUCGUUGGCAUGGUGUGGAGAAAUAAUUUUUUUUUUCUCCAUUUGAUAGCGAACGCAAUUUGGUAGGUGCGUUAAAGAGCUCGCGCAAUUUGGUGGAACGCGUUGAAAUUCUCAUGCGAUUUGGUGAAGCGAGUCAAAAUCUACGCGCAAUUUGGUGGAAGGCGGUGAAAGUUGUGCCCAAUUAUAUGGGAGCGCGCGCUCCAAGGUUGCCUUGGGUGGCGCGCGCGCGUGCAUGGGAAGGCGCGCUCCUCUUCCCCUUUUCUUUUUUUUUUUUUUUUUUUUGCUGCUGGCGCGUGCCGUGCACGCGCGCGUCUGGCGCGUGUAGGCCACGCGCGCGUCUGGCGCGUGUAGGCCACGCGCGCGUCUGGCGCGUGUAGGCCACGCGCGCGUGCUGUGUACGCGCGCGUACUGGCCUUUUUUUUUUUUUUUUUUUGCUGCUGGCGCGUGCAGUGCACGCGCGCGUCUGGCGCGUGUAGGCCACGCGCGCGUGCUGUGCACGCGCGACUUCCACGAGGAGCCAACUCGCUCGGAACUACAACCCGCAGCGAGACAACUCCCACGAGGAGAUAACUCGCUCCGUCCUACAACCCGCAGCGAGACAACUCCCACGAGGAGCCAACUCCCUCGGGUCUACGAAACCAUAGCGAGUUAACUCCCACGAGGAGAAUACUCGCUCUGUCCUAUAACCCGUCGCGAGGCAACUCCCACGAGGAGCCAAUUCCCUCGGGUCUCAACGCCAUAGCGAGAUAACUCCCACGAGGAGCAAACUCGCUCGGCCCUACACACUCGUUGCGAGACAACUCCCAUGAGGAGUCAACUCCAUCGGUAUUAUGAACCCGUAGCGAGACAACUCCCACGAGGAGCCAACUCGCUCGGAACUACAACCUGUAGCGGGACAACUCCCACGAGGAGCCAACUCCCUCGGGUCUACGAAACCAUAGCGAGAUAACUCCCACGAGGAGACCACUCGCUCCGUCUUAUAACCCGUUGUGAGAUAACUCCCACGAGGAGCCAACUCCCUCGGGUCUCAUAACCACAACGAAAUAACUCCCACGAGAAGACCACUCGCUCUGUCCCACAAUUCGCAGCGACACAACUCCCACGAGGAGCCAACUCGCUCGGUACUACAACCGGCGGCAAGAUAACUCCCGCGAGGAGAUAACUUGCUCAGUCAUAUAACCCGUUGCGAGGCAACUCCCACGAGGAGUUAACUCGAUCAACUCUAUUACCCCCCGACGAGACAACUCCCACGAGGAGAUUACUUGAUCCGUGCUGCCACAUUAUCGCGAAACAACUCCCACGAGGAGAUAACUCGAUCAACUAUAUUACCCCGCGACGAGACAACUCCCACGAGGAGACAAUUCGCUACUACAUCGUCGCGAGACAACACCGACGACUCAAAUAACUUACAUAGCGACAACUUAGUCGCGCCAACGCGCAUUCACGCCCCUCCGACACACGCUCCAAUGCAUUUUCGCACACCAUCAGGCCAUAUGCCAAAGAACGAACACUACAAUUUUCACUCUCGACACGAUUGAGAACCCAUUUCGACAUGGCCCCCACAUCGACUCGAGAGUGGGGGGCUUAAUGAUAUGCCUAAUUGGGCCAACCCAAUGGGCCUACAAGUUAUUUACCUACUGGGCCACGAGCCCAAUAUUGAAGACCAAUAUCACCGAGGCCCAAACACCUUCAAGUAAGGCUUGGGCCCAACAAAGCAAACCCAACCCAAUAAACGACAUAUAAAUAGAGGUUUUCCUCAUUUUAUUAAGGUACGUCCUAUUAACUGAGCAAUACUACAAUACGUAUUCUCUGGACUAUUUCCACUAUCAGCACGUCUGACUUGAGCGUCGGAGGGGUUUCCGCCGGAUCAACCCCCGGCCUAGUUCACGUGUUCUAUGAUCGCAGGUACCUCAGGAUCAUCAAGUUGUCAAGCUACUGAUCUGCUUUGCUCUCCCAGUUCGUUUUCUACACCACCAUAGGUGAGCUAGUAAUUAGCAUCAUCAAAUGAUAAACUCAAUCUCUGACACUUAGAAUGCACAUAGGAUAUUUUGAGAUUUUUGUUCUAGAGUUUCUUCUGAGUUUACCCCGUGUAUUUCACCCGGUGUAGCAUCAGCAGCCAGCAGAGAAUCUAAAUUUUGCCAAAUAGGAUAGAUAAAAUUUUAAAAUUCAUAUUUGGUAAUUAACAUCUAGUACUUUCAGAGUUUCUUUUGAGUUUAGCAUCGGAGAUGCUCUAAUAUUUAAGCAAAGUAGAAAAAUAUGAUUUGCUAAAAUUCCACUACCUAAAAUAAACAUAACAAAUGUAUUUUUUUCCAUUUUUGCUAUAUCUCAAACAUAAAUACCAAAACAUCUACAGAAUUACACACACAACACAAUACAUAUACUGAAGAACUCCAUUGUUAAACUGAAGAUCCCAGAGGAAUGCUCCAACGACGCCGUUUUGUUCAAGAAUCUGUACUUGUCUUGCGACCCUUACAUGCGCGGCCGCAUGGCGAAAACGGACAGCAGCUACAUUGACUCUUUUACCCCUGGUUCGGUUUGUAUUUUCUGAUUGGCUUUUUCUUUUAUUGGUGUUUAAUUUGUACUAUGUGAUUCACCUGGUUGUACCUUGGUAUGGGGAGGAUUCAGAGAACUAUGUUUGGUCUAUGGGAAAUUUACAGGUUUUGUCCCUCAAGUUUGCAACGAUUUUAUAUUUGGUCCACCGUGUUCAUAAAAAAACACAUUUGAUCCCUCUGUGUUUCAAUAAUUUGACACUUUUAGUUAUUUUUAUCAAUUCACCGUUAGUCCGUCAGUUACGGUUGUGAUAAGCACACGUUUGAUUCCGUACGGAAAUUUGACGGAAACGACUAAAAAUAUUGAAUUAUAUAUUGAAAUAUGACGAAUGAAAUGUAUUUUUUGUGAACAUGAUAGACCUAAUGUGAAAUGUUUUAUGCGAUUUGUUCUCCGAAAAAGGGAGAAUAUGUGUUCGUUUCUGCUGCAUCCGGAGCCGUUGGCCAACGAGUUGGCCAAUUUGCCAAGUUGUUGGGGUGUUAUGUUGUCGGCAGUGCCGAAAGCAAAGAUUAGGUCUUUCAAAUAAAUAAAGAUCACAAAAUUCAAUUUUUUUUCCAAUUAUACAAUUACAUAUAUAUAUAUAUAAAUUUUUGGUAUUUAUAUAUAUAUAAGUUGUUGGCAUAGCGGAAGAUCGAUAAAUGGAUUUGCUCUUGAUAUGGAAGAAUAUUGUUGAUAAAGAAGGAGGAAUAUGAACAAAAAAGAAUGGAGGUUUUAGGGGACAAUUGAGUUGCUGCUCUUUUAAUUGUUUUUCUUGAUAUUCCAAAUACUAGUACAAGGUGUAUUUAAAAAGCAAGAUAAGUCUCCAGAGAAUUCUCCACAUUAAUGAUAGAAGAUGAACCGUGCUUUUCUAAAUAAUUCUAAAAUAUUAAUUUUUGAUUACAAAUUAACUUUUAACACAUAACACAAAAAAAACAGGGUUACAUAUUUGCUUAGACAUGUAUACUUCUGUCGUUAAGCACAUGCUUUCUCAAACCAGGGAUGUGAACUUCUUGAAAAUACUUCCUCCACUCUAUCUUUGAUACAUCAAUGUCAAAAUUAUCCACCUCUUCCUUUGACAUUUCAUACAAUAACUUCUGAGUGUUGCCAGCAUGGAACCUUUAAAAAAAAUAAUAAUAAUAAUAAUAAGGGUAUAUUACACCUACACCCCUGAGGUGAGGCGUAGUAAAAUAACUUUAAGGUUCUUGUGAUAUUGGUAUUUAUAGUCGGACGCCUGAAGCAGUUACUAGAGUCAAGAUUUCAUGCUGGAGACCGAUAUACACUAUAUUUGUUUUCCGCGGGGCUGUUAGUGCUACCACAUACGAAAAUUUAUAAAUCUUAUAUAUAAAUAAUAAAGAUUUAAGAAAUGUUAGGGCAACCAUGUCAGCCCCGAGCUCUAUGUUGUCUCCAUCAUUACCUGAAACUAAUAGUCUGUUAUAGCCCUGACGGAUAAGUUAUCCAACGCAUUAUUCUGUUAGGGUUUCUAACACGGCGAUUGUAAUUAUCGAUAUCUCAGGGACCUUAAAGUUAUUUUAGUAUACCUUAACUAAGGCUUAUUGAUUUCGAGAUAAAAAACUCAGACAAGAACAUUUCUUGAUACUUGAGUGCAUUUACUAAACUAAUGCAUUAACCAUGUGUAAAAACAAUGAAGUAAAACAUUUUGAAGGGAGACUGUCACUUUUUUUUUUUUGGGAUGGAAGUGAAAAUCCUAAAAAAGUAUAGGGAGCAAAGUGCAAUUUGUCCAUGCAUAUUCAUACCUUGCUUUGAAGUGCCCCAAGAAUUCAUACAUCUUGCACAAGUGCUCAGCAUACAUGAUCUUUGCUCUGCACUGCUUUUUUGCUUUCUCGGUUCCUACUACAUUUCCUUGUCCAGCACGUCGAGAUAUUUCUUCUCGUGUAUAUUUCGAGAAAUCGUUGAAAUUAUCGAAAUAUUUAAUUUUUUCAAUAUCAUCAUAGUAGUUCACCCUAAUUAAACUUUCGGAUUCUACCAAAGGUUCCGAACUGAAAUAUUCGUAAAGAUACUCGAAAAAUUCCGAGUAUCGUAAUGGGUUCGUGACACUAGAUGACAUGUGGUACACAUUCAACUCCGGCUUUUGAAUAUAACCGUGCUUUGCUAUCGCUGCAAUUGUUCCAUUUACGACAAUAUCCAACGGAAUCUGGUAACAAAUAUUAGUCAAAGACAACGAACGAUUAUCCAUAAUUAUCCAGAAGAAACGAAAUCAUGUACUUAAAAUAGGAUUUUUCGAAAUAUCAUAUUCAAUAAUUUUGAAGGCGAAAAUUACAGUUUUCAUUCUUCAAGUUUGCACUGAUUUCACAUUUGGUCCCCUAUAUUCACAAAAACCACAUUUGGUCCCUCAUGUUUCAAUAAUUUAACAGUUUUGGUCAUUUUCAUCAAUUUACCAUUACUCCAUUUGUUAAGAAAGUGAUGGGCACACGCUUGAAUCCGUUAGUACUAAUGGAAAAUUGACGGAUAUGACUAAAAAUGUUGAAUUUUUGAAACACGAGGGACCAAAUAUGGUUUUUGUGAAAAUGAGGGACCAAAUGUGAAAUCAGUGCAAACUUGAGGGACAAAAAUUGUAAUUUUCUCAAUUUUGAAGUAAAUUACCAAAGGUAAAUUUAUUUUAAACUUGAAGUUCUUAUAUUCGUAAAAUUGAACAAUCAAUAAAUUUCAAAAACUGUUUACUCCCGUGAAUUUAGCAUAAUAUUCUCACACAUUAUAUAUUGUUUAUGUAAACUUACAACAUCAAUGGGGGAAUCAGGCUUGCCUAGAAAGGCUGGAAGCUGCCCUUUUCCGUAUGNNNNNNNNNNNNNNNNNNNNNNNNNNNNNNNNNNNNNNNNNNNNNNNNNNNNNNNNNNNNNNNNNNNNNNNNNNNNNNNNNNNNNNNNNNNNNNNNNNNNAUAUAUAUAUAUAUAUAUAUAUAUAUAUAUAUAUAUAUAUAUAUAUAUAUAUAUAUAUAUAUAUAUAUAUAUAUAUAUAUAUAUAUAUAUAUAUAUAUAUAUAUAUAUAUAUAUAUAUAUAUAUAUAUAUAUAUAUAUAUAUAUAUAUAUAUAUAUAUUCUUUUCACCUAUUUCCUUGAAUCCAACCAGGAACAGGUUCUUUAUAGCAACUUUCUAUGACAGUUGGCCUACUGACGACAACCGGAAUAUCCCCUCUCGUUUCAUUAAUUACCAUUUCCGCCAUCGCCUUUGUCAAGUGAUACGUAUUAUACCAUCCAUACAAAUUUGCUCUGUUAGAAAAUAGAUUAUGUUAUAAAUUUAUGAUGCAUGUGUGCUCAUUUUUUGGUUAUACGUAAGUUUGGCCCGUAAAGUGUUCAUGAUAGUUCCUAAAUUAAACGACGAGUUAAAUUAUAACUCGAAGAAAGAAAAAAGAGAGAGGAAAGGCAUAAAUUAACCUCUCCAUUCCAAGACUUUUCAUAUCCCUAGUCAAAUCAUAGUUUGAAGAAGCCAUUUGUUUUCUCGACACCGAAAGAUUUACUUCGUCGGUUAUAUCGAGUCGAGGAAAUGGAGAUGUAUUGCAUGUGUCGUCAUUUCUUCUAUUCUCCCCCAUAAUCAAUGGCUUUUCCAAGAUAAUCCCUUCUCUUUCUCCAUUGACAUAUGCUAUAUGUAUAUAUAUAGUAACAUUUCGAUUAUUCGUGCAUAUAUAACGUUAUACGUACUAGUUAGAAAUUAAUAAAAAAGAUUUAAUUCCCUAAGUCAUUUUUACUACUUAAUUAAGGGAAAAAUACAGUUUUCAUCCCUCGAGUUUGCACUAAUUUCACAUUUAGUCCCUCAUGUUCAGAAGAAACACAUUUGGUCCCUCGUGUUUCAAAAAUUCAACACUUUUAGUCUUGUCCGUCAAUUUUCCGUUCAAACCAACGGAAUCAAGUGUGUGCCCGUCACUGCCUUAACUGACGGACUAAAGAUAAAUUGAUGGAAAUAACCAAAAGUGUUAAAUUAUUCAAACAUGAGGGACCAAAUGUAUUUUUUUGAACAUGAGGGAUUAAAUGUGCAAUCGGUACAAACUUGAGGGAUAAAAACUGUAAUUUUCCCACUUAAUUAAUAAUAAAUUACCGGUUGAAAUAUGGACAAAUAGCUCAAGGUUCUUGCACGUCUUAGCAAAACGCAUCAAUUGUUGGGGGCUAUUGACAUUGGCUUCAAGUAACACAUCGUACCUACGUGAAAUUAUAAUAUUUCAAUCGAAGAAGAAACUUAGUUUCCAUCAACUUGAUUUAGUUUUGAUCAAAAUUAAUUAAGUGAGAAGAGCGAGAUAGUUAAAGUAAUAACCUUUCGUUUAAGGUUGUAAUGGCGGCGGAUUCUAUGAUCACAUUGACAUCUUCCAUAAUUGCAUGCGCAGAAUCAAAGUCCAUUCCGAGGUUCGGCUCACAAAUAUUGCCAACAAUUGGUAUCAGAGUCUCCCUUAUAUACGCUUGGUAAUAUUUUCCAUGUUUUUCUUUCAAACAUCGGAAUAACUCGGAGUUUAUAAGCUAAUUACAAAAAAAAAAAAAAGAGCAAAAUAUUCGCGUAAUUAUGUGUAGAGUUCAACUAAAUAUAAAGAUGCAAUGUUAAUUAAAAACUUACUUCUUUGGCUAUUCUAUCGACGGCUGCUUCUUGAUCAUCCGCUUUCACUAGUAUGUAGAUUUUACCGACCGAUGUCGACCUUAAAAUCUUCUCCACAAGAACUACGUACAAAAUCAUAUUUAAUUAAUAGAGUAAAAUUAAGGUCGAUCACCUCCCUGAGAUAAGGUUAAAUUACAAAAAUACCCUUGUUUUUUUGGGUAAUUACAACCCCCCUCUCAGUUAUGAAUCUUCUUACACGUCCACCAUUGCGGUAUCAAAUUUAACGGAAUCUUCUAAAUUAUGUGAAAUUAUCUCUAGUUUGUACCUGUUUUAUUCCAUUUCAGCUCCACAUUUUGAAACAAGAUGAUCAUAAGACGUGUCUCUUGAAUUAUAAAUAUCAUAUUGUGGUGUAUCAUAAACUGUCUUUUUGCACAAAACAGAUACAAACUGGAGAAUAUUCCACAUAUUCUAGAAAAUUCCACUAAAUUUAACACUGCAAGGGUGGACGUGUAAGAAGAUUCAUAGUUGAGGGGGGCGGUUGUAUAUAUUUACCCAAACAUGACGAUUUUACGUAAUUUGACCUUACCUCACAUGAUGGCCGUAAUUUACCCUUAAUGAAUAUUAUUUCAAUCAAACGACAAUUAGGAAUACAAAGAAGACUAACAAGUGAAUUAUAUACAUAUAUACAUACCUUUUCCAAGAAGCCCAGUUCCACCGGUGACGAAAAUGUUUUUGCCUUCGAAAAACUUAAGUAUUCCGAUACCCUUGCCGUAUUCGAUUCCUUGUGGAACUUCCAAUUUUUGGAGAUGGCUAUGUGGUCAUUGUUAUUAUUAGCUGCCUUUGUCUUAAUAUUAAUUUGUCGAUAUCUUGUUCUAGCUAUGUUGUUUUUCUUUUCGACGUUAACUAAGAAUCGAACCGGAGUUUUCUUACAAGAAUAAAAGUUGUUAAGUUCCCUAAUUUGUUGGCAGAAAAAUGGUCUCGUACUCAGCAACAUAGUUUACUUCAAAAAGAAAAAAAGAAAAAAAAAAGUAUUUGUAUUUGAGAGAGAGAGAGAGAGAGAGAGAGAGAGAGAGAGAGAGAGAGAGAGAGAGAGAGAGAGAGAGAGAGAGAGAGAGAGAGAGAUUGGUUUGGAAAUUUAAUGGUGAUACUUAUGAUGAAAGUAGAGGUCUAUUUAUAGGAGGAAAAAUUGUUAUUGAGAGCUACUAUUAUAUGAAGUUUCAGGGUCAUUUACAUGAAUGGUGUAGAUGUCCAAUUAAUUUACAGGAAUGGUGUGAUUUUGUACACCUUUACAAAUAUGGUGUAAAUCGCAUUUCACAGUGGCGAUUUCUGACAUUUUUUAUGACAGCUGACCCAAGUCCCUUAUGUUUCAACAAUAUAACACUUCUGGUCAUUUCCAUCAAUUUACCGUUAGUUUGUCAGUUAAGUAAUUAAUGGACAUAGGCUUGAUUCCGUUAGUUUUAACGGAAAUAACUAAAACUGUGGAUUUUUUGAAAUGUGAGGGACCAAAUGUGUUUUUUAUGAACAUGAUGGACCAAAUGUGAAAUUGUUGCUAAUGUGAGGGACUAAAACUGUAUUUGUCCCCCAAAAUAAUUCUUUCAACUUUCCCUCUGUUGGAUACAAAUAGAGUAACAAAGGCCAUCAAUUGAUUGAUCUCUCUUUUUCAAAGAAGACAGACUUUGAGGACUGAGCUUUUUAAAUAAUUAAAAGUGAAUCUGAACCCGUACUCUGCGAACGAGCUUAAAUCAUUUAUCACGUGAGUUGCCUCCACUCAUAGGUAAAAAAAACUGAAAUGAUUUGUGCAGACAUAAAUUAAACAUUCAGGCACAUUUUUUACCAUUUCUCAAAAACCAAAAGGUAAAAAAACUCAAAAAACUCUCUCAACCCUCUCGAUUUUCUUUCGCAAAGCCCGUGCAAAUCGUCAACAGAUCGGAGGUAAUUUUUACGUUUUUACGAUCCUCUUGUUAUGUAGAUUACGAAUCCGAAAAAAAAAAACGAAAAAAAUCGAGCUUAGUCACACUCGUGUGAAUUUACACGAGCGGAACCACUUCGCUCGUGUAAAUUCACACGAGUGUGAAUUAUAAUUUUUUUUUUUUUUUUUUUUUUUUUUUUAAUUUAUUUCGUAAAAAAUGGGAGUUGGAUUUUUACUCGUGUGACUUUACACGAGCGNNNNNNNNNNNNNNNNNNNNNNNNNNNNNNNNNNNNNNNNNNNNNNNNNNNNNNNNNNNNNNNNNNNNNNNNNNNNNNNNNNNNNNNNNNNNNNNNNNNNNNNNNNNNNNNNNNNNNNNNNNNNNNNNNNNNNNNNNNNNNNNNNNNNNNNNNNNNNNNNNNNNNNNNNNNNNNNNNNNNNNNNNNNNNNNNNNNNNNNNNNNNNNNNNNNNNNNNNNNNNNNNNNNNNNNNNNNNNNNNNNNNNNNNNNNNNNNNNNNNNNNNNNNNNNNNNNNNNNNNNNNNNNNNNNNNNNNNNNNNNNNNNNNNNNNNNNNNNNNNNNNNNNNNNNNNNNNNNNNNNNNNNNNNNNNNNNNNNNNNNNNNNNNNNNNNNNNNNNNNNNNNNNNNNNNNNNNNNNNNNNNNNNNNNNNNNNNNNNNNNNNNNNNNNNNNNNNNNNNNNNNNNNNNNNNNNNNNNNNNNNNNNNNNNNNNNNNNNNNNUGCAUCUUUAUAUUUAGUUGACUUCUACACAUAAUUACGCGAAUAUUUUGCUCUUUUUUUUUUUUUUGUAAUUAGCUUAUAAACUCCGAGUUAUUCCGAUGUUUGAAAGAAAAACAUGGAAAAUAUUACCAAGCGUAUAUAAGGGAGACUCUGAUACCAAUUGUUGGCAAUAUUUGUGAGCCGAACCUCGGAAUGGACUUUGAUUCUGCGCAUGCAAUUAUGGAAGAUGUCAAUGUGAUCAUAGAAUCCGCCGCCAUUACAACCUUAAACGAAAGGUUAUUACUUUAACUAUCUCGCUCUUCUCACUUAAUUAAUUUUGAUCAAAACUAAAUCAAGUUGAUGGAAACUAAGUUUCUUCUUCGAUUGAAAUAUUAUAAUUUCACGUAGGUACGAUGUGUUACUUGAAGCCAAUGUCAAUAGCCCCCAACAAUUGAUGCGUUUAGCUGAGACGUGCAAGAACCUUGAGCUAUUUGUCCAUAUUUCAACCGGUACUUUAUUGUUAAUUCAGUGGGGAGAUUACAGUUUUUAUCCCUUAAUGUUUGUACACGAUUGCACAUUUAAUCCCUCAUGUUCAUUAAGGUACAUUUGGUGCAUCAUGUUGGGAGCAUUUUUGAAGUGCUGGCAUGUUUUUGCACGAGCACAACAAAUUUUUCUUUUUUUUUUCGUUUGUUUUUUUUUUUUUUUUAAUAAAUUAAUUAGUUUAAUUAGGAGCACAAGCAGAGCAAAUUUUUUUUUUUUUUUCAUUAUUUAAAUUCUUUUUUUUUUUAUUAUAUGAAAUAUUAAUAAAGUGCUUAUUUAAAAUGUAGAUGGCAGGAGGUCGGGGGAAAAGUCUUAUGAGUCAAGUUGCCGGUAAAGGCAAGAGCUUAAUGAAAGCCUUGAGUGGGAAGGGGGACAAUCCGGAAGAUCCGGAUCGCAUUGGAGACCGAGAUGUCCUUGCUUCCGCACGUAGAAGAAAGCAGUUAGCUCGAGAAGCAGCGUUACAGCGGGAAGAAGAGAGACUGAGACGAGAAGUUGUUGCAGCUGGAGCCGGACCCUGUACAUUGCCACAUGCCGACGACGAUAAUAUGGAUACUGACGAGGAGAUGGAGCAAGAUGAUGGGCCAGCAGAUGCAUUUCAGGAUCGUAGAGGUGGUCGUGCCUUACCCUUUCCGCAGCUGCCUGGUCCUGCGUACUUGGAGGGUCCGUGCGAGGGAGGGCCGCAAAAUUUAGAGUUUAUGCGAUGGUUCAAGUCGCAUAUAGCGAUGUACAUUUGGGAAGGAUAUGUAAGUUUUUCUGUCAACACGUGCUUUACAUAAUUCUUAUAUUAUUUAGAGUUUAUGCGAUGGUUCAAGUCGCAUAUAGCGAUGUACAUUUAGAGUUUAUGCGAUGGUUCAAGUCGUACUCUUUAUCCAACAGGUCCAGUGCUUUGUGUGAUACGUUACAUACCAAAGCACCGAAGCACGACAGUGAAGUACUGUACAUCCUGACUGUUCUACUGCUUUCAUUUUCCACCUUCAAUUCAUUAAUUUGAAGGUCAACUUGCGCAUCUAGUGCAUUUUGAACUGUAUCCAUAGCUCCAGUCGAUGUUUGGAUCCAACGCUUCGAUGCACGAUGUGCACUAUCUACUCUGUUUCGAGAAAACACUCAAAUAAUGAAUAAAUGUAACAUGUGUAUAAAAGAUUGUACGUAACGAGUUUAUAGUAAAAUCAAUUUAUAUACCUGUUAGUCGUCGUGUUACCGAAAUGAACGAUGUUGUUGGUCCAACACUUAACAAAUCUCUCCUUAUAAAUCAACCACGUUUCAUUGAUGUAAGUUAUCAACUUCGGAUAUUGCCCGUACAAACUAACUAUCUCUCUAUAGUUGCAUUCGUAUUCUUCCUCAGUCUCAGAUUCGACUAACUUUGCCCACACCGUCCUCCGGAACAGUACACCCAACUUGGUGUUACCCAAGAAUUUUGACGCGUUUGCCUCAACGUUUCUGUUUAUGUGAUAUAAACAUAACAUGUGAUGCGAAUGUGGAAACACGUUUGGCAAUGAUUUCAGUAGGCCCAGCUCACGAUCUGUCAGUAUCACUUCUGGUUCUAUCCCGAUUGGUAAUAUGUCUCGCAAACAUCGCAAUGUCCAUGCAUAAGUGUCCCCAUCUUCACGUGACAUAAAAGCAACGGCAAUAGUGAAGUUCCUUCCCACGGGAGUAACCCCAAUGAUCUCCAAAAGAGGCAUUUCAUAUCUACAUGAAGGUAAUUAUAAUUUAGUCAACUCUUACAUAUAUAUAUAUAUAUAUAAUAAAUGUAAUACACAUUUAAAUAAUUAUUACCUGUUAGUCUUGUACGUGCAAUCCAUCAGGAUGACGUAUGAAAAUAACUGCAAAAGCUUUAUUGAAUCAGGGUGCGCAAACAUAACGUCUUGCACUGUAUCACCAGCUGGAUUUGUUCGAUGCCAUUUGCUGUAUCCACUCUCACUUAGUUCGUGCCACAGAUGUUGUAUAACUGUUUUUCCUUUCAUUUCCUCUCGUCUAAUUUUCUGUGAUUCAUUGUACACUUCUCUCAAGGACGCAGCCGUAUCCGGAUUCAUCUGCCUCAGAUGAUGCAAAAUUUCCUUCGGCUUCACAUGGCUCUUUUUCAGUAUCUUUGUCACUUCUCGUUGCUCUUCAGUCAGGCGACUUAGCGAACGUAGUCCUUGUGGAUAUUUAUGAGGAUUAUGAUUGUGCUUGCCAUUUUUGAUGGUAAGGCGCCAUAAUCCAUCACGACCCUCUUUACCCCAUAGCGCAAAAGGGCAUUUACACUUUAUUGAACCGGACUUCCGGCUUGUUUCGACCUCUGCAUUUUUUCCUCGACUCUUAUAGGCUCUUUUGCAAGUCAAAUAUUGUCGGCCCUCGUGGUAAGAAUGUCGCCUAAUCUCAUGUCCAUGACUGAUGGCCAUAUUCAUCGCCCACUCGACUAGUGCAUCUUUACUAUCAAAUGCAGUCGAAAUUGUGAAAAAUUCACUGAAAUCAUGUAGCUCGAAUGUUUCAAUAUCUUCAUCCACAUCUAUGUAUACUUCCUGUUUUUAUAUUAAUGUAAUUAGCAAAUUAUAAAACUAAAGAAUAAAACUAUUAAAAAAAAAAAAAAAAAAAAAAAAAAAAAAAAAAAAAAAUUUGUGGGGCUCGUGUGAUUUCACACAAACAGAGACGUUCUGCUCGUGUGAUUUCACACGAGCAAACCUCCUCUGCUCGUGUGAAAUCCCACGAGCUAAUUAAAAAAAAAAAAAAAAAAAUUGUUCUUGAGCUCGUGGGAAUUUNNNNNNNNNNNNNNNNNNNNNNNNNNNNNNNNNNNNNNNNNNNNNNNNNNNNNNNNNNNNNNNNNNNNNNNNNNNNNNNNNNNNNNNNNNNNNNNNNNNNGCAAGUGCUCGUGUCAAUUCACACGAGCUCAAGAAUAAAAAAUAAAAUUCAUCUACUCGUGUGAAUUUACACGAGCACUUGGCAAGUGCUCACGUAAAUUCGCACGAGUAGAUGAAUUUUCGGGAAAAAAACGAAAAACUUACAUUCGGGUCUAAGUUGUUUGGAUCCAUCGCAAAAAUUGUUGAAUAUCUGAAAUUUUUCACUUUGAAUGUUGAGUUUUAUAUUUUAUAGGAUUUGGUAGGAAUAGUACAAAAGGUAAAUAGUUAUGGUAAAAAGGUAAAAAACCAUGGUAAAAAGUGCCUGAAUGUUUAAUUUGGCCUGCAUAUAUCACCACCCUAAAAAAAAAAUGCCAAAAUCAUGUAUUAUAUUAAUGGGGUAAUGGCAAAUAGGCCCAUGACAAGGGCAAUUAAUUAAAAGAGGGACAUCCAAUUUUUUUGUCUUUCAAAUAAAUCCAACCCAUUCAAACUUAUUUGCAAAUAAGGAAAAUCCUUCAUAUAUACCAAAAUUACCCCCAAUUCAUUGAAACCCAAUUCAACUCCAAUUUCAUGAUUUACACCAUAAUUUAGCCCAAUUUCAUCAAUUAACCAAUUUUAACCAUAAUUUCAAUUUUGAUCCCAAUUUUAACCAUAAUUCUUAUCAAUUCCACCCAUUAUGCUCUAACUUCCUUAAUAUUACACAUUGACCCCGGAUUUAAACAAAUAUAUCACAUUAACCCCCAAAACUUUUUUUUUUGCAGAAAAUAAUUUUUUUUCUAAAAUAUUUUUUUUCCGGCCAGAUUCCGGCGUUGACUUUUUUUUUUUUUUUUUUUUUUUUAUAAUUUUGUUUUUUCUUAAAAAAAUUAUUUUAAUUAAUUUUAUUGUCUUGGCUGCUAAAUUACUGUCUCCGGUAGCUAUUUAACUGUCGGAGACAGUAAUUUAACUGUUAAUUGACUAUUUUUUUUUUCUUCAAAUUUUUUUAAUUAAUAUUUCUGUAUUCGUUGCUAAAUUACUGUCUCCAGCAGUUAUUUAACUGUCGGAGACAGCAAUUUAACUGUUAAUUGACUUUUUUAUUCUUAAAAAAAAUAUUUUUAAUUAAUAUUACUGUAUUCGUUGCUAAAUUACUGUCUCCGACAGUUAUUUAACUGUUGGAGACAGUGAUUUAACUGUUAAUUGAUUUUUUUAUUCUUAAAAAAAAUAUUUUUAAUUAAUAUUACUGUAUUCGUUUGCUAAAUUACUGUCUCCAGCAGUUAUUUAACUGUCGGAGACAGUAAUUUAACUGUUAAUUGGCUUUUUUUCAUUUUUUUUCUUAAAAAAAAAAUAUUUUAAUUAAUAGUACUGCCUUAGAUGUUAAAUUACUUUCUUCAACAGUAAUUUAACUGUCUUAGACAAUAAUAUUAAUAAUAUUAUUGUUCGGAAAAAUAAUAUUCAUAAUAUUACUGUUCGGAAAAAAUAAUAUUCAUAAUAUUACUGUACCAAACAGUAAUAUUACUGUCUGAGACAGUAAUUUAGUAGCUAAAACAGUAAUAUUAAUUAAAAUAUUUUUUUUCUAAGAAAAACAAUUCCAAAAAAAAAAAAUGUCAACGCCGGAGACCGCCGGUCAACGGUGGUUGACUGACCGGAAAAAAAAAAUUUCAAAAAAAAAAAAAAAAAGUCAACGCCGGAGACCGGCGGUCUCCGGCGGUCAACGCCGGAAUCUGGCCGGAAAAAAAAACAUUUCAGAAAAAAAAUUAUUUUCUGAAAAAAAAAAGUUUUGGGGGUUAAUGUGAUAUAUUUGUUUAAAUCCGGGGUCAAUGUGUAAUAUUAAGGAAGUAAGAGCAUAAUGGGUGGAAUUGAUAAGAAUUAUAUUAUUGAGGGUAUUUUAGACUAAAGACAUGGGGAUGGGUUUAAUUGAGAGACUGUUUUUUUUGUGGACUAAAAUGCAUUUAAGUCCUAUGUGAUGGGCCUUUUUGCCAUUUGCCUUAUAUUAAUAUAUUGCAUUACAAUAAAAAAAACAAAUCUCAAUCUCAAUCUCAAUCUCUAAUACUUAGAGUGCACAUAGGAUAUUUUGAGAUUUUUGUUCGAGAAUCAUCUCCAAUGCGAAUAUCAAAACAAAUCUCCAAAUGACGCGGCACUUGUGAUUUUAAAGAUUCUUAAGAUGACACUCUGAAAUUGAAGUUUCGUCUUGAGGAUCUCUAAAGUGUCAACUCAUCAGUUAUCACAUUUUUAUUUGAUUUUCUAAGAAAAAUAUUUUGAGUCUUGAGUGUUGUAUCGGAGAAAAUUUUGCAGCAGUCCGCAGAUAAUACAAAUCUUGCCAAAUAGGAUAGAGAAAAUUUUAUAAUUCAUAUUUGGUUGAAGAUGGACUAAUAUAAUUAAUAAUUAAGCAAAGUAGAAAAAUAUGAUUUGCUAAAAUUUCACUACCUAAAAGAAACAUAGUAAGUGUACUUUUUCCAUUUUUGAGGUCAAUAUCUCUAACAAAAAUACCAAUAUCUACAGAAUUACACACACACACACUGGAAAACAGAGAAGAGAAGCUUCAAAGAGAGAGAAACAAAUGGUGGAGGAAGCGAGCAACAAGCAGGUUAUACUAAAGGAUUACGUAAAGGGUUUCCCUAAAGAAUCGGAUUUGAUUUCCCAGACGAAUGCAACGACGCCGUUUUGGUGAAGAAUCUCUACUUGUCUUGCGACCCUUACAUGCGCGGCCGCAUGGGGAAAACGGAGGGCAGCUACAUUGACUCUUUUACGGCCCCUGGUUCGGUUAGUAUUUUCUGAUUGGCCUUUUCUUUUAUUGGUGUUUAAUUUGUACUCUGUGAUUCACCGGUUGUACCUUGGUAUGGGGAGAUUCAGAGAAGUAGUAUGUUUGGUCUAUAUAUGGGAAAUUUACAGUUUUCAUCCCUCAAGUUUGCAACAAUUUUACAUUUGGUCCUCCUUGUUCAUAAAAAAACACAUUUGGUCCCUUGUUUUUCAAUAAUUUGACACUUUUAGCCAUUUCCGUCAAUUCACUGUUAGUCCGUCGGUUACGGCAGUGAUAAGCAAACGUUUGAUUUUGUACGGAAAUUUGACGGAGAUGACUAAAAAGUUGAAUUUUUGAAACAUGAGGAACCAAAUGUGUUUUUUGUGAACAUGAUGGACCAAAUUGGAAAUCGGUGAAAACUUGAGGGAUGAAAAUUGAAUUUUUCCCUUUGUUCUAUUCUACACCCAUGACCCAUCAAUGAAUUAUACUGGAAAAAUUAAAGUUUUCACCCCUCAAGUUUUAGACUGAUUACAUAUUUGGUCCCCUAUAUUAAGAAAAAAUAUAUUUGGUCUUUCAUGUUUCAAAAAUUCAACACUUUUAGUCAUUUCCGUCAACUUACCGUUGGUCCGUCAGUUAAGGCAGUGAGGGUACACACUUGAUUAUGUUGUGAAAUUUCUGCAAACUUAAAGGGUGAAACUGUAUUUUUCUCGAAUUUAUUUCAUCGUAUAUAUCCUAGUAUGAAGUACUGUGAGGUAUAAAUAACUAUAAACACAAAUUUUAUUAAUACUUAGACGAUUACCGGAUAUGGAGUGGCGAAAAUCGUGGAUUCUUCUAAUCCCGAUUUCAAGAAAGGCGACUUGAUUUGGGGCUUAACAGGCUGGGAGGAGUACAGCCUUAUUAGAUCAACACAGGGUUUAUUCAAAAUUCAGAAUGCAGAUCUGCCUCUCUCCUACUACACCGGAAUUCUCGGUACGUAAAUUGACGUUUUCGCCCUUCUCUCGUUUUUUUUUUUUUUUUUUUUUUGCAAGCAUGCAUGUAUGUAUGUGAUGGACUUUAUAAUAUGAUAUAUAGGUAUGCCUGGUCAUACUGCUUAUAUUGGUUUUUAUGAGAUUUGUUCUCCGAAAAAGGGAGAAUAUGUGUUCGUUUCUGCUGCAUCGGGAGCCGUUGGCCAACUCGUUGGCCAAUUCGUCAAGUUGUUCGGGUGUUAUGUUGUCGGCAGUGCUGGAAGCAAAGACAAGGUCUUUACAAAUAUAUAAAUUAAAGAUCACAAAAUUCAAUUUUUUUCCCAUUAUAUAUAUAUAUAUAUAAUUUUUUUUUUAAUCAAUUUUGUGUGAAGGUGGAUCUUUUGAAGAAUAAAUUUGGUUUUGAUGAUGCAUUCAACUACAAAGAAAAACCUAAUUUAGAUGCGGCUUUAAAGAGGUUAGUUUAUUAUUUCGUACACGAAAUCUGCAAGUUAGCAAAAUAAAUAUAUUUUUUUAAUAAAACGAAUGAACUAGCAACGGAACAUAUAUACGGGUGCACUGAGUAAAAUUACACGUAAAACACAAUGUGGCAAAAACCUCAACAACAACAACGUCUUCUUGGGUAAAGAAAAUAGUUUACCGCAAAAUCAAUUUCAUCACAAUUUACCUAGCUAAUAGGAACCAAAAAAACUAUGUUCAGAGUUUAUGUUCUAAUUUGCUUUUGCAUUUUGAUUUUUCUCAUUUCAAAAAUUAUGAAAAUGUUAGUUAUUUCCCGAACGGCAUCGACAUUUACUUUGAGAACGUGGGAGGAAAGAUGCUCGACGCAGUGCUCCUCAACAUGAGAGUCAACGGCCGCAUUGCCGUUUGUGGGAUGAUAUCGCAGUACAACCUUGAAAAUCCAGACGAAGGUACUCGAAACUUGUUGUGCCUUGUAACAAAGCGAAUACGCAUGGAGGGAUUCUUGGUUUUCGAUUACUACAACCUCUAUCCAAAAUUCUUGGAGAUGGUGGUCCCGCUCGUUAAACAAGGGAAAAUAACGUACGUUGAGGAUGUAGCCCAAGGCCUUGAGAAUGCACCAAACGCUUUCGUUGGGCUCUUCUCCGGCCGCAACGUAGGGAAGCAAGUUGUGGUUGUGGCUAGUGAGUAGCUUGUUUUGUUAUGAAAUUGUCAUCAAGGGCUUCCUUAAUUUGGUUUUUAAUUUUGUUUGUGUUGCUAAAUGACACUGUCAUCUUUGUUUUUCAUUUCAUCUUGUAUUAUUUUUUUUUUUUUUUACUAUUGGAGAUAUGAAUAUUAAAUAAUACAUUUCACACCUACAAUGAUAUUCGUCCUCAAACAUUGCCGCCACAAUUAGAUCCUCAAAAGGGUAAAUAGCACUUAACACUCCUGUGGUUACAAGCUUUUGCCAAUGACCCCUCUGUGCUCGUCAAAUUAGCACAUAACCACCUUGUGGUUGAUAGGGGUAGCUUUCGUUAAUUUUUCGCUCAAACUUAACCGCGUGUGUCAAACUUCGAGGGGUCAUCUGCAAAAUUGAAAGUACAAGAGGGUCAUCUGCAAAAAAUACUUUGACGUUUGAAACUGGCGGUUAAGUUUCACGGAAAAACUAACGAAGCUAUCCUCACUUAUCACCACGAGGAGGUUAUGUGUUCAUAUAAAAAGCAUUAGGGGUCAUCUGCCAAAGUUUGUAACCAGGGGUUCAGUCUUAUUUACUCCCUCAAAAUUACAACUUUUUGAUAAUUUUGGUCCGACAGUCAUAUUUUGGUGUAUACUCGAAUGAAAUCAUCAUGUGCGGGGCGGAUUUAAGGGGUGGCCAUGUAUGCCAUGGACCACACCAAAUAAUAAACAAAUGUUUGCCUAAUUAGGGGUGGUUUCGGUACGGUUACCGAACAUUUUGUUCAAUACCGUGUACCUACCGUAUCUUUCGGUAUUGAAAAAUUCUAUACCGUUACCGUACCAACAAUUGCGGUAUACCGUUAUUCGGUAUACCGUUAGUUUCGGUACGGUAUGAUCGGUACGUGGUAAUCUACCGUACAUCAUUUUUUUGAUGAACUCGGAUGAUACCAUAAUUAAGAUGAAUACUAAAUAAAUGCAUAAAUACAACAAAUUAAGCAAAUGAAUGUGGUACUCAAGCAAUCUACAUGAAUAUACAUUAUACGACCGUAGUAGCAUAUGUUGCUUUAAUUAACUAAUGCUUACUUCAAUUGCGCAUCCAUCCAUGAGCUCUAUCACUUCAAUUGCAACCAAGGCAUGGAUAGCAUUGCAAUAUAUCAGGGUCCACCUUAGCUUGUAGUCUUUCUUGGUUGUAAUCAAUCGGUACGAAGCUAAGAUGGGAUCUUCAUCACCCGUUCCCUCAAAUCGGUACACAAAAACCUCACAUCCGCGUAUAACCUCCACUUCAAACACAUUCGUCUUCUCAUCAACCUCUAUUGAUGCCUUCAAAUCUACAUUUAGAUCAACGACAUGGUCCACAACUAGAACAUCUUCAAUCAUUCCAUCCAUCUCCUUCUUCUCUUGUUCUGAGGCAUCUUCGUGGUUUAGCUCGAUUGCCUUCUCAGAUUCAUCAUGCUCAAGUGUCUUCGUAAUUUCUAUUUCUCUCAUAUAGACACUAUUUUCUGGACAUAGAAGAUUUUUCUCACCGCAGGCUUCACCCGAAUUUUCUUUGAUAUAACCAUUGCCGAUUUCGUCUGGAAUAUUUUCAAGAGAUUCAGAUUUUAAUUUGAGAGUCAUCUCUUCCAGUUGUAUCUCCAUGUUUUGAAAUGAUGCUUGAGUGGACUUCAUGAAUUCAGCAAUAAGGGAUACCAAAUCAAGUUGUUCAUCAGUGGUCUGCUGCUGCAUUGGAUAAUAAUUUUGAAAAUCAUCAAUUUGUGGCUCUCUAUGUUGAAACUCAUUCAAAUCUUGGUCUUGAAAGCUUUGCUCGUAUGUGUUGUUGUAAGUGUUCCAAUAACCUCCGUUGGUAAUUUCGACGAAAUUUGUCGCCUUUGGUGAUCCCCAACAUUGAUCGGAAUAAUGAUUUCCACCACAUGCGGAACAAAACGGAGGCAUAUCAUAGGUGUUUUGGAGGUAUUCGUCAGUUGGAAGCCAUUCAUAUCCCGUUUGAGGUGCCCCAACAUUGUAACCAGACAUGUAACAAAAAAAAAAAAAUCAAAAUUAAAAAUAAAAAUUAAAAUUAAAAUUAAAUGGCUGAAGUAAGAAAAAUUGCUCAAAUUUGAUAUUAGAAUAAAUAAAUAAUUUAGCCGUAUUCCCCGGCAACGGCGCCAAAAACUUGUUGGGUGCUAAAUACCAACACGCAAGUGUACGUAUCGCAAACAAGUAGUAAAGUAGACUCGUGAGAGUCGGAUGUCGAUCCCACAGGGAAUACGCAAAUUAUUUAAUCCUAAGUACCAAAUCCUAACAAUUAUGAUUUUUAUUCAGCCUACGCAGGGUUGUCAAAUUAAUUAACUAAAUAAAUUAAACUAAUUAAGAAAUCAAUUAAACACGAGAAAAUAUCAAUAUAAAACGGAUCUAGGAUUUUAUCUUCCCCCUAUGCAAUAAUUCUUCACCCAAUUAAUCUCCUAUCAUGCAAGUUACGAUUCCCGAUUAUUAACCCAAGACACGAAAUUAUUCAUAACCAGCUGUCGCUGCGUUAUAAACCUAUUAUUCAUAAAAGAUUCACUAUAUGUCUAUGCAAACCUAGUAUAAAUAAAGCAUUAAAUAACAAGUCUCGCAAACGGCUACCUAAGGUAUUAUCUGUAUGUCUACGAUAAUACAUGCAAUCAACACACACAUUCGGUGAAAAACUACUCGAAAGUUCUUCUAUCCCUGUUCUAAUUAUUAAAACGAUCUGUCAAUCAAUUCUAACAAUAACAAAUAGCAACAUAAAUUAGCUACGUUCAUGCGCUAAAUAAGAUCAAGAUAGAAGAAAUAAUCGAAGAAUUAAACUUGCAUAAAAGUAGAAAAAUAGGUUCGAAUUACCACAUAGGGUUCCAAUAAAAUCCUAGAAUAAAAACUUAGUUACUCAUGUUCGCUACGGAAAACAUAAUAAAAAUACGAAAGUUCAUGAAAAUCGAAAAAUAAAAGGAGAACUAUGAAGAAGAUUCGUUAAGUCUUCGUCUUCGUUGCUCCGUUCCUAAAUUGCGUGUAGAAAGAUGAGAGAUAAAAACUAAAGAUAAAAGGUAAAAGGUGAAUCCUUUAAUUGUGUGCUUUUGGCCUUUAAAUAGGGUGCAAAAAUAUAAUAGGGCGGGUUUCCUUGUGUAAUUAAGAUUCCUUCUCUGCGCCAACUCGACCAUCCGGACGGCCGUGCGAGAAUAGGCUUUAAAAUCCGGACGGCCGUCCGGUCUUCAAUUCUUCAGAAUUCUGGUUUUUUCACUUUUGGCCCACUUUUUCUCCGAAUUUGCAGUUUUCACCCCAAAAGUUGCCAAUUCUUCAAUUUGCACCUGAAAUACAAAUAAUAACCAUUUUAAGCACCAAUUAUCGUUAAAACACACCAAAAGCUCCAAUUAAAAGGUACAAUUAAGUGUAUAAAUAUACACUUAACAGUAGGUAUACCAUGGUAAUCGGUAUUUGGUAAUUUUUGCCCAGCACACUCCUGUGGUUACAAGCUUUUGCCAAUGACCCAUCUGUGCUCGUAAAAUUAGCACACAACCACCUUGUGGUUGAUAGGGGUAGCUUUCGUUAAUUUUUCGCUCAAACUUAACCGCGUGUGUCAAACUUCGAGGGGUCAUCUGCAAAAUUGAAAGUACAUCAUCUGCAAAAAAUACUUUGACGUUUGAAACGGGCGGUUAAGUUUCACGGAAAAACUAACGAAGCUAUCCUCACUUAUCACCACGAGGAGGUUACCUGUUCAUAUAAAAAACAUUAUGGGUCAUCUGCCAAAGUUUGUAACCAGAGAGGGGUUCAGUCUUAUUUACUCCCUCAAAAUUACAACUUUUUGAUAAUUUUGGUCCGACAGUCAUAUUUUGGUGUAUACUCGAAUGAAAUCAUCAUGUGCGGGGCGGAUUUAAGGGGUGGCCAUGUAUGCCAUGGACCACACCAAAUAAUAAACAAAUAUUUGCCUUAGUUGUGAAGAUGUCCAACUAGUUGGAGUGAGGUCACGACUUCGACCUUCCUAUUGUGCAAAAAGUUUUUUUUUUUUUUUUUAGCCCCUCUCCCAUAAACACAUUAUAUUAUAUUUAUAUUACUAUUUAGUCCACCUAAAAUUCGAAAUAUACAAAAAAAUCCUUAUUUUUUUCUUUUUUUUUUGCCCCUCUCCCCAAAAACACAUUAUAUUAUAUCUAUAUUAUUAUUAUUUAGUCCACUCAAAAUUCAAAAUAUACAAAAAAAGUCCUAAAUUUUUUCUUCUCCUAAUUUAUCCAACAAAAAAAGGUUCAUUUUUUUUUCCCAAGGGCGCUGCACCUGGACCCCCGAAAAUUUAAGCCCACUAGUAAAUUCCUGGACUGACCACAGCCGGCAUACCCUGAAUUUUCAUCUUGGAUCCGCCACUGGCGGCUUCACGUGAUGUUCACUUGGCAAUUAAAAAGGAAAAAAAAGAGAGAAAAUCGUUGGGAUAUAUGUACACGUAAUUUAAAUUCCAAUGAUUUUUUUUUAUAAACUAAUUGCAAAUCGGUCGAAAUUAUUGUGCGUGCUUCUUCCCUAGUUACUUAUACCAAAAGCGGACAAACAUCUCGCACUAUAAUCUAUUUGGUCAUGGAUUCGAAUCAUCCAAAUCCAUAAAGGGCAAUUGAGAACCAAUAAUUAUUCUUUUUUUUAAAGAGAGAGAAAAAAAAAGAAACUAAAACCACUCAUCUUAAAGCUAGAAAAAGUUAUAGUGAUGUUAGUGCGAUUAUUAAAAAAAAAAAAGUUAUCGAUGAACUGAUGUCGAUCGAUUAGCGACUCCGUGUAACGGGUGGGAAUUCUUACUAGAAAAUCGUUGGGAUAUAUUACAAGGUAAAGUUCAUUCACAUAUGACGAACCUUUUCAACACGGAAAACGUGAACUUAAUAAUUUUCACUUAUUCCACUUUUUCCCUAUCUAAAAUCUUGAAAGAUACUUUAGUUUUUCUUUUAUGAGCAAAUUGCACAUCACCCCCUAAGAAUUUCUAAUUUUCGCACUUUACCCCCUCAAAAUUUUAAAAAGUGAAUGCCACCCUUCGAAAUGUUAUUUUUGUUGCACAUUUCCUCGAUAGCAAAAUUUCAAUGGAUUAUUCAUCGGCAUUUGAGUAUUUUUGUUGCACAUUGCCCCUUUAUAUGUUACUUUUGUUACACGUUACCCUUAAAAAAACUAUCUUUUUGCACAUUGCCCCUUUAAAAUGUUAUUUUCGUUGCAGAAUAUACUGCCCACCAAAAUUGGUUUCUGGGGCAAAACGCAACCAAAAUAAUUUUUUUUUUAAGGGGGACUAUCCAGUUUUUAAAUUCUUAGGGGAGAAAGUGCGAAAAUGAGAAAUUUGUAGGGAUUGAAGUGCAUUUUGUCCUUCUUUUAAUAAGAAUUAAAAUACACAUGCCAACCUUAAAGUAAGUAUAUAUAUAUAUAUAUAUAUAUAUAUAUAAAUAUAAGAGUGUAUGUUUACUAGUGCACCUAUAUAGUUGACUGUAGGUUCCUUAGUUAAAAAAAACAAAAAAAAAAAAAAAUCCACUUCAACAAGAAAGUGACCCUAAAAAAAUGUAGGCUCUAAAACUUAUUGUUUCCACUUUAAAAAAGAAAACGACUCAUUGAAAUUAUUGUCUUAAAACAAGCACGUGUUUUACAUUAAUAUUAAUGAAGUGAAUUAUUGUACAUCACUACAAAAAAACAUGCAUGUGUUUUACAUGAAUAUUAAUGAAGUGAAUUAUUGUACAUCACUACAAGAAACAAAUAAAGUGGCACUGUCUCAAUACACUUUAAAUUCAGUCCCUUCAUAUACUUUUAUCUAAUAUUCUACUUCUUGUAGGGAUAAUUACAUUUUAGUCCCUCAUACUGACAUUAUUUUCACUUUCAGUCCUCAAUUUAUCACAUUGUUAACAAAUACCAUUCUAAUAUUAAAAACUUGUAACGCGUUUGGUCCCUCCGGCUGUUUGACCGUAAGUAACUGUUGGGUUAUUUUAAUAAAAACAAUAUAUUUUAUUAUAAAUUAUAAUAAUGACUUUGACCACUUUUAUGAUGGUCAUUAGACCACUAUUUUGAAACCUUCAAAGUCAUUAUUUUCCUACAUAAAAUACCAUAAUUUCUAUAUUAAAUUGAGGUUUUAUGGGGGUUAUAUUAUAUAUUAUAUAAAGGGGAUAUUGUGGCUUUACAUGGAGAAGAAGAAGGAAGAGAAAAACAAACACUUUUCAUCUAUACUAUACUUUGAGCUUUUGUUGUGUGUCGGGUGUAAGCUUCUACUUCACUCGAACGUGCAAUUUCGGUGAAGUUACAGCGGAGAGAUAGGCUGGGCUGUUGUAUCCCAUAGGCGACACGAUCGGAACCUUUUUGCACCUCAUUAGAGAAGGGGUCGUGAAAUUCGUCUUAAGAGAGCGACCUAGUCCGCGCCUCACCUUGCCUAUCUCCAUAUUAUUGUGUAUAUUAUUGCAGUUAAUUAUCAACUAAGAAAAAGAGAGACCAAAUAGAGUACAAGCCUCAAUCCACAAGUUUCGUGAUCAAUCGUCAAAUUACAGCCGUGGUUCCAACAAUUUAAGACGAAGCUUUGAUCCCAUGAAGAUGAGCUUUGAUGAUGAUCCAAAAUAGGCUCUUGAUGAUAACAAGGGAGAUGAUAAAUUAUAUUUUAUUGUUAUUUUGAUUUGAUGAAAAAUUAACGAUCUUAUUUUUGUGUAGGUGAAUUUUUCGUACAAUUCACGAGUUUAUACUUUGAGACCAGUUUCAGACCUGAUAAUGUACGAAUUUGAGAAUGUGUAAAACAUAAAAGUUUUAGGCAUUUCUGCUGGCUGUCCGAAACAUUUUGAAACACUGAAAUCGGACAUCGAACGAGAGAGAUAUGCUUCAAAUACUGAGCACUGCUGGAGCUGCCAAAUUGUGCGCGGUUUGGAGAUAUCGAAAAAAAAAUGAUAGUUGAGAAUUAUCAAACCUGGUACGUUCUUCGUUUAUUCAUGCUAAUUAUGAUAAUUUUGCAUAAUAUUUGUGUUGAUGAUUGAAACUGGGAUUAUCUGUUCUGUACGUAUGUGAGUUAUAUGCAUAAGAAAUUUUCGUUCAGAGUUUGAGCACAAAGAACUACAUGAAACUAUUAUGAUUAAUGAAAAAAGAAAAAAAAAUAUCUACUGGUAUUCAAUGCAUUAAUUUCACGUGUUUGACUGCGUCUCAUAUAUUUGAAAUAUGCAUUGCUGUCAUUUUUAUAGUGGACUUAAAGAAAUUAUCUGUUACAACAUUAUGAGCACUUAUCAUGGUUUUAUGUGCUAUUUAUAUUGAAAGUAAUGGCAUGAGAAUUUGCCAUUGAAAAUUGAUCAGAUAGAGGGUGAAAUGUUUCCGAAGAAACGGUGUUAUUUGACAUUUAUGAUGAUAUAUAUAUUUGAAUUUUGACAAUUGAUCAAAAUUGAUCAAAUUGCAAUUGAAAUGUUAUGCAUGUUUUAACCGUUAUGUGUUAAACCAUUUAUAUACUAUUAAUACAUUUUAGUUUACAAUACGCCUUAUUAUUAGUCAACACUUAUCACGUGAAUUUUUAUUCAUGCAUUAUUGCUAUUAAAUUAUGUGAUUCUGAUCUUACAUUAAACGCAUUUUCCUAAGAAUAUGAAGCAUAACUUGGCCGUUGCUAAAGUCGAUUUUUUUAUAUUUUGAUGAAAUGGUUUGUGCGUUUUUUAUUAAAAAAAAAAAAAAAAAUGUGAUUGUGUAAUUGCUAUGGAGUAUUUUGUUCCUGAAAUCAUUAUGGAAGGAAUUAGAACACUAAAAUGUGUUUUUCGGAAUAUACUAUUGUUGAAUUACUACAAAUUGAUUUCCAUGAAGAUAAAAUAUUUUAUAAUCAGAGAACAACUCUGAUAAAUUAUUAAAUAAAUAAUUUAUUUAGAUUGAGAAAUAGUGGGGGUAUUAUAGUUUUCUCUAACUGUGAAAAUGAGCAUGAUAUAUUAUAUUUUGAAUUUAAUUCAUGAUGCAUGUGUUUGAAUAUUUGAUGUAGUGGGAGUCUUAGAGAACAUGAUUAUAUGAUUAAACAUUUUAUGUAUUGUUUAAAUAUUGAGAAAUAGUGGGGGUCUUAGUGUCUACCUAUAUGAGUAUGUUAUAAUUGGUUUUGACGUGGACUUUGUUUAUAUUGCUCAUUUUAUGAUUGCAUAUUGUUCAUAGUGAUAGUGUGAUAAAUUAUGCUUUAUUUGCAAUCUUGAAUAUGCAAGUAGUUAUUAAAGGCCUAAUUUUACAUAUACGUGACAUUGGUAUAAUAUAGAAAGGCCUAAGAGUAGAUAUUAAUUUGCGAAAAUAAAUUUAUGAGUUGUGAAGUGAAACGUUUUUUUGAAAGUUUCAAUAUUGUUGAUUAUUGAAAAUCUAAAUAAGAGGAAUUAUAUUCCUAUUUGAUUAGAUUUAUCACAUUGUGCGAAUGACUAUUUGUUUAUAAUUUAAAAGUCAAAACUCAUAUCAAUUUUGAUUGAUUAUUUUGACAUUAGCCUGUGAGGAGGCCGGUUGAUACCGAAUGUGGUAUAUAAAAUCCUAAUGUGGGAUAGAUCAAUGCUUUGUGCUUAGAUAAAUAUGAUUGAGAAUAAAUCAAAUGCUUUGUGCUUUGAUAAAUAUGAUUGAGAAUAAAUCAAAUGCUUUGUGCUUUGAUAAAUGAGAUUGAAAAACUGCAGUUGGCAUAUUGCGAGAAUCUUUUAAUGGAAUCCGGAACCAUUAAAAGAAAAUACAGUACUGUGAAUCUAUGUGAAAAAUCACGUGAAAAUUUAAGUGAAAUUAUAUGAGAAAUGGUUAAUAAACCAUAAAGUCUGAGACUAAAUUGGUGAAAUUAUAUUUCACAUUAUUUCAGAAAUUAUCUGAAAUGCAUCGAGGGGGACUGGAUUAAAGCCUAAUAUAUUUUGUAAAGUUGUUGAUGAGGAUACUACCGCCUAGGGGCUAGAGAUCCUACGAACUAGGCGAAGAAAAACGAAUCUGAAAGCAACUUGAUAGUGAUAAGAGUGCAUACUUUUAUUAUCCAUCCCUAUGGUGUGUGUGCACUAAUAAAGCUCGUAACGAAUUGUGAGGUUGAGACUUUGAUCUCUUAAUGAGUUCUAUAGCCCGGACGGGUGGGGUGUUGGAGUUACGUAAACAUCAUUGAUAGAAUUCACCUUGUGAGUGUGGAAGUGGGGCCGCUUCCUAUGAGAAUUAAGGCUGUUCUCUAGAGCUCUCACGAGAAAUGGGGUAAAGCACAUGGCCGUUAACGUGCUGGCUUUAGAAGCUUCGAUCGGGACACUUUGUGUAUUAUGUGUGCAAUAUGAUUCUACGUGCCCCAAGGGUCACUGUUUGAAGGCUAAGUCCACUUUGAUUCUAGUACGGGAAACAUAUUGUACUAAGUGAAGGUUUGAAGGCAUUGUCCACUUUCAUUAUGCAUAAUAUUCCGCAAGAGCUCAAGUAUAUUUAUAUUCUUAUUUUUAUUGAAAUAAGUGGGGGGUUGUUGGGUUAUUUUAAUAAAAACAAUAUAUUUUAUUAUAAAUUAUAAUAAUGACUUUGACCACUUUUAUGAUGGUCAUUAGACCACUAUUUUGAAACCUUCAAAGUCAUUAUUUUCCUACAUAAAAUACCAUAAUUUCUAUAUUAAAUUGAGGUUUUAUGGGGGUUAUAUUAUAUAUUAUAUAAAGGGGAUAUUGUGGCUUUACAUGGAGAAGAAGAAGGAAGAGAAAAACAAACACUUUUCAUCUAUACUAUACUUUGAGCUUUUGUUGUGUGUCGGGUGUAAGCUUCUACUUCACUCGAACGUGCAAUUUCGGUGAAGUUACAACGGAGAGAUAGGCUGGGCUGUUGUAUCCCAUAGGCGACACGAUCGGAACCUUUUUGCACCUCAUUAGAGCAGGGGUCGUGAAAUUCGUCUUAAGAGAGCGACCUAGUCCGCGCCUCACCUUGCCUAUCUCCAUAUUAUUGUGUAUAUUAUUGCAGUUAAUUAUCAACUAAGAAAAAGAGAGACCAAAUAGAGUACAAGCCUCAAUCCACAAGUUUCAUGAUCAAUCGUCAAAUUACAGCCGUGGUUCCAACAGUAACUAACUUUAAGUACCCCUAUAUUAUUAUUUUAAACUGUUGUGUUAUAAACAUUACCCAAUUAAAUACUUCAUACUGCAUAGACCAUAGUAUUGGACUAAUUAUGCAAUAUCAUUUUACCAAUAUCUAUAUUAGUCUAACUAAAUUAAAAUUAUUAGGGUAAAUAGUACUUAAUCUUCUUGUGGUUACAGGCUUUUGCAUAUGACGCCUUUGUCCUUGUAACAUCUAGCACAUAAACCCCCUUGCGGUUGAUGGGUAGCUUCCGUCAGUUUUUUCGUGAAACUUAAUCGCUUGUGUCAAACGUCAAAGUAUUUUUUUUUCCAGAUGAACCCUUGUGUUUUCAUUUUCCCUUUCAUAUUUUCAGAUGACCCCUUGAAGUUUGACACACGCGAUUAAGUUAGACGGAAAAACUAGCAUAAGCUACCCGAUAAACUACAAGGGGGUUAUAUGCUGAUAUUACGAGCACAAGGGAGUCAUCUGCAAGAGCUUGUAACCAAAGGGGUUAUGUGCUAUUUACCCUAAUUAUUAAAAUCAAACCCAAUUUCUGAUUUAUUUAUGAUAUAUCUAAAAUCGAUUUUUAUUUCAGCUACAAUAUAAAAAAAAACAGUAAUCCCAAAAGUUUGCAAAUUGGACCCAACAAGCAAAAUUCAUUAGAAAAGGGGGCAACUUAGAAAGAAAA